AUGCACUCCACCUCACACGAAUCGAAUCGGUUGAUGUCGUCCGCCCUCAACUCCAGUCCUGUGAUCUUAGAACUGACCCGGGCUGACCCUGAAGACCUGGAGCUUCCCCAGCACUCAAAAGAAUGCUUGACUCAAGACAGAACUGUAAAUAUUUGUUCAAUGGGUGGAUGAAUGAUCAAUGGAUCCAAUUGAACAUAGAAGAGUGUCAGGGAGAUAGAAUCACUUUCCCAAGAGUUAUACGGGCAGCCAAGUAAAGGAAAUUUUUAAAAUACAGAAAAGUGGCGAGAACAGUACGAUGACUCUAUUAUCUGU